UUUCAAUGAUGACAAAUCUAAGGUUUGUUUCUCAAAACAUUCGUGGUGGCCUACUAAGAUCUUUCGCCUUUGCAAGGCUUGAGAGAUUGCGCAGCUUCAUUCCUUCCUUGAAUGUUUGAGAUA